AAUAUCCCCUAUGAUACUGUCUUACUCUCUCAUGAUGCUAGACAAUAGAAGCAUCUCCGAUUUUUACUGAAUGUUAAUAUGAAGUUUAAUGUUCCAGCAUGUCUUCUGCUGUGUACAUUAAUGGUGUGGUUAUGAUUGCUAAGUUAUUUAGCAUAAUCAGUCAGACACAUCCCAACAGAGAAGAUAACUUUAAAAAUCAAAGCGAUCAAUACCUGAAGUUGUGCAAGAUAAUUAAGUACUGGAGAUCAGUUGUACAACAGCCUAACUAUGGUUAACAUUACUGGGCCAUACAUUUAGACAACUUGGUGUUCUUACAAUAGCAUCAACAACAACAAUAAUAACAACAAUAACAACAUCAAUAACAACAAUAAUAAUGAUAAUAACAACAGAAAAGAGUAUAUUAGGCAGUCUAAUGGAACUACUGAAGAAUAUAACAAUGUGUCAUCAUGAAUAAUAAACUAAAAAAAUGCAUACAUGGAUUACAGG